UCAAACUUGGUCAUUUAGAGGAAGUAAAAGUCGUAACAAGGUCUCCGUUGGUGAACCAGCGGAGGGAUCAUUACAGGACUCGCAAGACUCCUAUAACCCUGUGAACUUACUACAAAGCACGUUGCUUCGGCGGGUGCCUCCGGGUGGUUUUCCUCCUGGAAGCGCUAAGCCCGCCGGCAGCCUACUAAAUUCUGUCUCUUUGCGUUGGCAUCUCGAGUACAAACAAAUAAGUUAAAACUUUCAACAACGGAUCUCUUGGUUCUGGCAUCGAUGAAGAACGCAGC
rnacentral:misc_RNA from 1 species